rnacentral:lncRNA from 1 species
UUUUUUUUUUUUUUUUUUUUUAUCUGUUUCAGGUUCUUUUUUUUUAGUGUUUUAGGGUUUUAAGUGUCUUUUAAAAGUCCUUGGGUUUUUUUUUUGUUUGUUUGUUUUUGCUUUUUUAAGUGUUCUUUAAGUAUUGUAUUUUUUAAAGUGUUUUACCGUUAUUUUAGUGUUUGUUUAAAGAUUCUAGGUUUUUUUUAGUGUUUAAUUUUUAAGGUUUUAAAUUUAUUUUAGGGUCUUUUUAAAAAAAUUAUUUUAGAGUUUUAAGGCUUUGGGGGAAUUUUUGAAGGCAUUAGGGUUUUUAUUUAGGGUUUUAGGGUGUUUUAUGGUUUUAAAUUAUUUGUGUUUUAGGGUCUUUGGGUGUUUUGAGGUUUAUUUUUUGGUUUUUUUUUUUUGAAGGUUCUUGAUUUCUUCUAGAAUUUUAAGAUAUUUUAGUGUUUUCGGGUCUUGUAGGUUUAUUUUUUUUUUUUAAGGUUUUUAGGAAUAUUUUAGGUUUUCUUUUUUAUUUUUAAGGCUUUAGUGUUUUUUAGUGUUUUAGGUUUUUUUCAAAACAUUUUAUUAUGGAUUUUAGGGUGUUUUUUUUUAAAGCUGUUUAGUUUUUUUUUUUUUAGGAUUUUUAAAAUGUUUUUAAGUUUUUUUCAGUGUUUUUAGCGAUUUUUUAAGGACAUCGGAUUUGUUUGUUUGUUUUUAAUGGUUUUUAGGGUUUUUUAUUGUUUUAGAGUUGUAGAAUUUUGGGAUUUUUUUUUAAGAUUUUAGAAUUUUUUAGAGUCUUUUUAG